AUACGUAGGGGGCGAGCGUUGUCCGGAAUGAUUGGGCGUAAAGGGCGCGUAGGCGGCGCGGUAAGUCUGGAGUGAAAGUCCUGCUUUCAAGGUGGGAAUUGCUUUGGAUACUGUCGGGCUUGAGUGCAGGAGAGGUAAGUGGAAUUCCCAGUGUAGCGGUGAAAUGCGUAGAGAUUGGGAGGAACACCAGUGGCGAAGGCGACUUACAGGACUGUAACUGACGCUGAGGCGCGAAAGUGUGGGGAGCAAACAGGAUUAGAUACCCUGGUAGUCCACACUGUAAACGAUGAAUGCUAGGUGUAGGGGGUAUCGACCCCUUCUGUGCCGCAGUCAACACAAUAAGCAUUCCGCCUGGGGAGUACGGCCGCAAGGUUGAAACUUAAAGGAAUUGACGGGG
rnacentral:rRNA from 1 species